UACGUAGGGUGCGAGCGUUGUCCGGAAUUAUUGGGCGUAAAGGGCUCGUAGGCGGUUUGUCGCGUCGGGAGUGAAAACACCGGGCUUAACUCGGUGCUUGCUUUCGAUACGGGCAGACUAGAGGUAUGCAGGGGAGAAUGGAAUUCCUGGUGUAGCGGUGAAAUGCGCAGAUAUCAGGAGGAACACCGGUGGCGAAGGCGGUUCUCUGGGCAUUACCUGACGCUGAGGAGCGAAAGUGUGGGGAGCAAACAGG
rnacentral:rRNA from 1 species